UACAGGCAGUUCUUUCACUCCUUUUGUGCUCUCACAAACCCCAAAAGCUUACCUGGGAGCUUGAACAAAGGGCUGAAUUAAAAGGACCCAGAACUGAGGCUGAAGACCCUUGGGAGGGCAGAUAAAGAAUCUAGUAAAUAAACAGUCUAAUACCCCAGAAGGGGUUCAUUUGGACUUUGUGAGUUGGCCGGAGGCCCAAGCCACUGAAGACCCACCAAAGUUGGCCAGAAACCUACAGAAGGCACUACAUGCAAGAAAAAGACUGUCAUACCGUACCUUGCCACUCAGAGACGUGUCAGAGGUCACUGAUCCGUAAGCAUUCAAGAUCAUUUUCUUCCAAGAUAUCAGUGACUCUGUAACAGUUCAACAGGACACCAGUACACUAGUUUACAUGAAGAAAGAGAUCUUCUGCCUUGAUCCUGAGAGAUAUUGAUUUCCUGCGAGGUUCUGCAUUUUGUUGUGACCCACUGAAUCACCUUUAAUUUGACUCAGGUGGGAGUUGAAACUUCCCAGCGCUGUGCAGGAUUGGACAUUUUAUUACCAAAAAGACCAGGGAAGUAAUUUUGUUUUAAAACCAUGAAUGCUGGAUAAUGGAGCAAUAUUUCUGUUUUUUCUGUGCCUAUGGAUUUUUGAAAAGCCAUGUGAUGUGUUCACUUAUGAAUGCAGAAAAGUUAGUGAGGGAAAUCUCUUUGAUUAUGCUUUAAGAUUUGAUACGGUAGAAGUAGAACUGCAGUUGAUGGACUGGCAACUCAGCACUGGAACUUGCGAUAUCUUCCUGGAAAAAUAACCUCUCUAAAGUUGUGCUUUAGCAUAUUAUGAAAAUCAGUUGAUAGAAAGUUCAGUUUCUUGUUAUAAUCAAAACCCCUUUAUUUAAUACUUUCUAUUGAAAUGGAGUAAGGAUAUCUGCUCUGUUCAGUGACUAAAGGUAUCCAUUGAUCUUUCUACUCAGCAGGAAGUUGUAAUCUUGACUGAUGAUACAGUUAGGCAGCCAGUUCUUAAAGUCACAGUACUAAAGUCUUAUUGAUUAUACAGAACACUGCUUUUUAAAAUAGAACUUCUAUGUAUUUACAGAGACCUAGUAUUCAAACAUGUUUUAAAUACAUUCAUGUCUUCCUAGUUUUCUCAUGGUGUUUUUCAAAAUAGCAUCACCUGAAUUGAAGCUGUGUAUAAAGGCCGCCCUCGGGCAGGGCUUUGGAGUGGAGCCCGGAGCUGGAGCGCAGAGCAGCUCCGGAGCAGUGGAGCUGCAGGUUUUUGCCUGGAGCUGGAGCGGAGCUGGAGCACAGCUCUAAAGCCCUGCCCUCAGGGGCUGGAGCUUCAUUGUGCACUUAGACUCUGUUCAUUCACAUAUUGGAAAGCCUGUCCCAGUGCCGGAGAGCUUACCGUCUCAUUAGAUCCUCUUUGAAAUCAGGUGAAUUUUUAGCUGGUGUUCUCCCACAUCCUUCUGUAGUUAUCAUGGACCCUUUCCUUCCAUGUUACCCAUAGUCAGACAGGGUUAAAUGGGUAAUCUUCUUAGUGGGUGAAAUUCACUCCCGUAGAAGUCACCAUUAGGCCUACGCACCACUUAAGCACCACUUAAAAUAAAUCUUAAAUGGAACCUGAGAGGCACAUAGGCCUUGUGCUGGCCCUUUGCACAGGUGUGUAUUUCACCCAGUAUGAAGAGAUUGUUUUACCUAUACUAGGGAUGCAAUCCUGGGCCCAUUAAUGUCAAUGGAACCUUUGCUGUCGACCUCAAUAGAGCCAGGAUUUCAUCCCAUGUGUCUCAGAUACAAAAGUGAAUGUACUGCCUGCCUCUUAAGAUCUGCAUUUUGCUUGACUUUUUUUUAAUCAUUUUUCUAAAUUUGAGGAUCAAUGAAUGGUAUAUUUCUUAAGAUUUCAGGAUGUGUAUUAUCACCAGUUUGUUAAUAACCAACUUUAAAGCAGUUUCACCUGUGAACUAAAGUUUUUCAAUAUCUUAGAGGUAUUUAAUGCUUUUCCUGUUUGAAUUCUUUGGAUAGAUGGCAGCAGUCUUGAUCUUGUUGACUUAAGUCUUCCUCCAUUCAAUUUCCUGUAGAGUGUGUGAUGGUGUCUUU